AUGAACCUGUUGUGUAAAACUCUCAGUGUAGCCUCACAUAACCAGCUCUUCUGUGUUCCCAGGUUGAGACUUCUGCUGCUGUUAUGGGUUUCCAAUUACAUUGAAACCAUCCCUAUACAUGUGGCAGGAAAAAAGGGAGGCGGCAUCAUCCUGCCGUGUGAAUUUAAGGCCAGAGAGAUUUUUCAUAUUCGUUUGAACAGACCAAAACCCUUUGAAGGAGAAAUCUUUGUUUAUGAUAAGAAAUACUGCAGUAAGCGAAUAUGUAAAAAAGGAGCAUGUGACGUCGUCAUCAAUGAUCUGAGACUGAGUGAUGCUGGAAAAUACAUUUUAAAUGUCUAUUACAAUAAUGCUAACUCAGUGCUGGAGCCACACAUCAGGACGUACCAACUUCAUAUUUAUGAUGAUAUUUCUGUGAAAAUCGGUGAGGAGCUGAAGUUGGAUGUUCUGUUGCCAGAUGCUCGUCAAGUUAUGCAUCAUGUGACGUCGUCAUCAAGGAUCUGA
rnacentral:lncRNA from 1 species